rnacentral:rRNA from 1 species
GCAUUAUACAGCGAAACUGCGAAUGGCUCAUUAUAUAAGUUAUCGUUUAUUUGAUAGUGCCUUACUACUUGGAUAACCGUGGUAAUUCUAGAGCUAAUACAUGCUGAAAGCCCCGACUCACGGAGGGGCGUAUUUAUUAGAUUAAAAACCAAUGCCCUUCGGGGCUCCUUGGUGAUUCAUGAUAACUUCUCGAAUCGCACGGCCUUGCGCCGGCGAUGGUUCAUUCAAAUUUCUUCCCUAUCAACUUUCGAUGUUUGGGUAGUGGCCAAACAUGGUGGCAACGGGUAACGGAGGGUUAGGGCUCGACCCCGGAGAAGGAGCCUGAGAAACGGCUCCUACAUCCAAGGAAGGCAGCAGGCGCGCAAAUUACCCAAUCCCGACUCGGGGAGGUAGUGACAAUAAAUACUGAUGCAGGGCUCUUUAGGGUCUUGCAAUUGGAAUGAGUACAAUUUAAAUCCCUUAACGAGGAACAAUUGGAGGGCAAGUCUGGUGCCAGCAGCCGCGGUAACUCCAGCUCCAAUAGCGUAUAUUAAAGUUGUUGUGGUUAAAAAGCUCGUAGUUGAACCUUGGGCCUGGCCGUCCGGUCCGCCUCACCGCGUGCACUGGCACGGCCGGGCCUUCCCACCGCGGAAUCGCAUGCCCUUUACUGGGCGUGUCGGGGAAGCGGUACUUUUACUGUGAAAAAAUUAGAGUGCUCUAAGCAGGCCUAUGCUCGAAUACAUUAGCAUGGAAUAAUAGAAUAGGACAGGCGUUCUAUUUUGUUGGUUUCUAGGACGUCUGUAAUGAUUAACAGAAACAAUCGGGGGCGUCAGUAUUGCAUCGUCAGAGGUGAAAUUCUUAGAUCGACGCAAGACUAACUACUGCGAAAGCAUUCGCCAAGGGUGUUUUCAUUAAUCAGGAACGAAAGUUAGGGGAUCGAAGACGAUCAGAUACCGUCGUAGUCUUAACCAUAAACUAUGCCGACUAGGGAUCGGGCGGUGUUAAUUUUUGACCCGCUCGGCACCUUACGAGAAAUCUUAAGUGCUUGGGCUCC